rnacentral:rRNA from 1 species
UACGAAGGGGGCUAGCGUUGCUCGGAAUCACUGGGCGUAAAGGGCGCGUAGGCGGAUCUUUAAGUCGGGGGUGAAAGCCUGUGGCUCAACCACAGAAUUGCCUUCGAUACUGGGGAUCUCGAGACCGGAAGAGGUGAGUGGAAUUCCUGGUGUAGCGGUGAAAUGCGCAGAUAUCAGGAGGAACACCGAUGGCGAAGGCAGCUCGCUGGGACGGUACUGACGCUGAGACGCGAAAGCGUGGGGAGCAAACAGG